AGAUAGGCUAGAAGUGGAAGUGUAGUGAUGCAUGGAGCGGACUAGUACUAAUAGGUCGAGGACUUAACCAAG
rnacentral:rRNA from 1 species